CCUACGGGAGGCAGCAGUGGGGAAUAUUGCACAAUGGGGGAAACCCUGAUGCAGCGACGCCGCGUGAGUGAAGAAGUAAUUCGUUAUGUAAAGCUCUAUCAGCAGGGAAGAACAUGACGGUACCUGAGUAAGAAGCCCCGGCUAACUACGUGCCAGCAGCCGCGGUAAUACGUAGGGGGCAAGCGUUAUCCGGAUUUACUGGGUGUAAAGGGAGCGUAGACGGCAGUGCAAGUCUGGAGUGAAAGGCGGGGGCUCAACCCCCGGACUGCUCUGGAAACUGUACGGCUGGAGUGCAGGAGAGGUAAGUGGAAUUCCUAGUGUAGCGGUGAAAUGCGGAGAUAUUAGGAGGAACACCAGUGGCGAAGGCGGCUUACUGGACUGUAACUGACGUUGAGGCUCGAAAGCGUGGGGAGCAAACAGGAUUAGAUACCCCUGUAGUC
rnacentral:rRNA from 1 species